UCUACGGGCGGCAGCAGUGGGGAAUAUUGGACAAUGGGCGAAAGCCUGAUCCAGCCAUGCCGCGUGUGUGAAGAAGGCCUUCGGGUUGUAAAGCACUUUCAGUGGGGAAGAAAGCCUUGGGGCUAAUACCCUCGAGGAAGGACAUCACCCACAGAAGAAGCACCGGCUAACUCCGUGCCAGCAGCCGCGGUAAUACGGAGGGUGCGAGCGUUAAUCGGAAUUACUGGGCGUAAAGCGCGCGUAGGCGGUCUGAUAAGCCGGUUGUGAAAGCCCCGGGCUCAACCUGGGAACGGCAUCCGGAACUGUCAGGCUAGAGUGCAGUAGAGGAAGGUAGAAUUCCCGGUGUAGCGGUGAAAUGCGUAGAGAUCGGGAGGAAUACCAGUGGCGAAGGCGGCCUUCUGGACUGACACUGACGCUGAGGUGCGAAAGCGUGGGUAGCAAACAGGAUUAGAUACCCCUGUAGUC
rnacentral:rRNA from 1 species